rnacentral:rRNA from 1 species
GUUAUCUGAACCUUCGGGGAACGAUAACGGCGUCGAGCGGCGGACGGGUGAGUAAUGCCUAGGAAAUUGCCCUGAUGUGGGGGAUAACCAUUGGAAACGAUGGCUAAUACCGCAUGAUGCCUACGGGCCAAAGAGGGGGACCUUCGGGCCUCUCGCGUCAGGAUAUGCCUAGGUGGGAUUAGCUAGUUGGUGAGGUAAGGGCUCACCAAGGCGACGAUCCCUAGCUGGUCUGAGAGGAUGAUCAGCCACACUGGAACUGAGACACGGUCCAGACUCCUACGGGAGGCAGCAGUGGGGAAUAUUGCACAAUGGGCGCAAGCCUGAUGCAGCCAUGCCGCGUGUAUGAAGAAGGCCUUCGGGUUGUAAAGUACUUUCAGUCGUGAGGAAGGCGGCGUCGUUAAUAGCGGCGUUGUUUGACGUUAGCGACAGAAGAAGCACCGGCUAACUCCGUGCCAGCAGCCGCGGUAAUACGGAGGGUGCGAGCGUUAAUCGGAAUUACUGGGCGUAAAGCGCAUGCAGGUGGUUUGUUAAGUCAGAUGUGAAAGCCCGGGGCUCAACCUCGGAAUAGCAUUUGAAACUGGCAGACUAGAGUACUGUAG